CUCGUUGCCCUUCGCUGCUGUCGCCGAUUGUCAAACCCGCCGCCGUCGAGAACUCCAUGACCGGGCUGGAGACUCCUAGAGAAAAAAAAAGGGGCAGCCAGUUUUUUUUAGAGGCAUACACAAAGAGUAGCAGCUGCAAUUUGGAAGAAAGGAGAAGCACGCGAGUGGGUUUGGUUGUCCGGCAAGUUUGUAGAUCAGUGGGUGGCAGAUAUUCCGUUCUCAUCUGGCGAGUUCGACAGCGAGUCGACGUCAGUGCUGUCUAGUGCGGGUAAUAGUCAUUCGCAGGUGAGUGUUCGACGGCGUGCGGUCAGCGCAGGUGUCCGGUCCGGUCUGGGCAGCACCUUGAUUUUGGUGGGUUUCGUUCGGUGUAGGUUCGUCGGUCGUCAGUGACAAAGAAAGAUGCACGGGUCUGCGCAUGAUUACGCCGAUCAGAGUCAUUGGUUGUAAUGCACUUUAUUUGGGUUUUUUUUUAGUGGGUUGUUCUCGGUAUCAGAGGCGACGUCGUGUGCAGAUCUCUCGGUACCAGUUCAAAACUCUCACAACUAGAUUUGGAGGUUUGAAGGUUUUAAGAUAUUGUCCAACGAGUUGAAGGUUGUUAAUUUGGUGUGUCAUAAGUCAUUUUUCAGUAGAUUUGAAGUUGUUUCGAAGGAUUUUAGUGAGUGCAAAGGUUUUGAAACCCUUUUUGGUUGAUUGUUAUUGCUAGAAAUUGGUUACGUGAGCUUUAAUUGUGACUUAUGCAUAGGUUGGAGUCCAUUGAUGAAGUAAUAAAGUGGAUUUGGAUUUUAGCAAGCGGAUUUGGAUUUUAGCCUAAUUUUUGGGUAAGUCGUGUUGGUAAGUUUGGAAUGAUUGGUCGGUUGGAUUUGGGCUUAAAAGUUAAAAGUGAUUUUUGAUUUGUGUUCUAUGAUUUUUGAAGUAUUGGAAAGAGUUGAGUUGUUGUCCAAUAGGUUUUAUAUCGAUCUUUGCAAGGUUUUGGUGAAAUUUGAGGUUAGUAUUAAUACUUCUUUGUUAUCCAUUGAAGUAUUGGUCAAGUAAUUGAGUUGUUUUCAAUUUUUGAUGUUCAAUUCAAAGAUUUCAAGGACUGUUUUGAUAGGUAUUGAGGCCUUGAAACUCUUUUGGAAUUGUUACAUAGUUGCUGGAAUUUGCAUUUUGUAACCAUUAUUAUUGAACUUUUUGUAGGUUGGAUUAUUUUGUUGUAGUUUUGAAGUGACAUUCGAAUUGUUUAUUUAAUGCAUUUGUAUGAUAUGUGUAUUAAUUAUUGGAUUUGUAUUGUAGUGUCCCUUACAAGUGGGAACUGUCGAAUGUGGGUAUUACGUUAUGAGAUAUAUGCGAGAAAUCGUGACUAAAGAGAAGAAUAUUAUAACAGAUGUGAUUUAUACGAGGAGUUCGUACUCGCAACUUGAAUUCGAUGAAGUACGCGUGGAAUGAGCUGAAUAUUUAGGUUGCUGUAUUUGAUAGACUUCCUAUAAAUUGUGUAUGGCUACAUGGGAAUGCCUAAAACUUUUUUUGUUUAAAUGUUUUGUUUAGCCAUUAUAGGUUAUAUACUUCAAAGAAAUGUGUGGUGGAGGAUGGAAUUGUAGUCUUGUGAUUUUUGGAAUACAUACCACAUAUAGAUUGGUCUUACAAUUUUGAAAUUAUCAUAUAUUGGGAUGGGUUAAUAGAGU